rnacentral:siRNA from 1 species
ACGAGAGAGUAUUAUGACGGACUG